AAUGGGGAAACCCAGUGUGACUCGUCACACUAUCAUUAACUGAAUCCAUAGGUUAAUGAGGCGAACCGGGGGAACUGAAACAUCUAAGUACCCCGAGGAAAAGAAAUCAACCGAGAUUCCCCCAGUAGCGGCGAGCGAACGGGGAGGAGCCCAGAGCCUGAAUCAGCAUGUGUGUUAGUGGAAGCGUCUGGAAAGGCGCGCGAUACAGGGUGACAGCCCCGUACACAAAAGCGCAUGUGCUGUGAGCUCGAUGAGUAGGGCGGGACACGUGGUAUCCUGUCUGAAUAUGGGGGGACCAUCCUCCAAGGCUAAAUACUCCUGACUGACCGAUAGUGAACCAGUACCGUGAGGGAAAGGCGAAAAGAACCCCGGCGAGGGGAGUGAAAAAGAACCUGAAACCGUGUACGUACAAGCAGUGGGAGCACAGGUUUACCUGUGUGACUGCGUACCUUUUGUAUAAUGGGUCAGCGACUUAUAUUCUGUAGCAAG
rnacentral:rRNA from 1 species